CCCUGGGUCCCACCGCUGCCGGCCCAGCGCUUUGGGGAGUGACUUCCGGCCAUGCGGGGCCUCUACCGCUGCCAUCGCGGUCCCGGUCUCCUGAAGUGGAACCCGGCUUGGAGUCGAGCGCGACCCCUCGCCCGUGGGCGCAGGCGAUCGAGUAAGGGUGGGGCGGGCCUCAAACCCGGAUCAGAACCCGCCCUGACCGGCGCAGAGAUACGGGACGCAGCCUAAGCAAGGCCCGGGAAGAAGUUGGGUUUCCCUGCCAUCCUUCCUGCCCCAGCCCCUCAUCCUCAACUCACCAUCAACCCUUCCACGAUCCCAAAUCGCUCGUGGAUGACUUUGGCGAGGGGAGCCAAACAGUUGGUGGUGCAGGACGCGUUGCUGAAACAGCCAAGGUGUGCACGGACACUGUGAGCUCUGACAACCUCGCCAUGAACCCUCCUAGACCCUCAGCUCCUGCAAUAGGAAGCUGGCUGCCAAAGGCCAGGAGGGUCCCUGAAAACAGACACUGCAUUAAAGAAAAAGCUCCUGGAGGACUCCUGAAGCCUGAGGCAGCCUUGGGGCAGCAGUGGCUCAUGGUUUACAUUGGAAAGGUUUAUCAUGAGUAACCGGGUGCUUUGCUUCUGUGAUUCUUGGCCAGUGUCGGUCUGUUUCCUUUGCCAUUGAGCCUGCUCCCCUCAAUGGGGGGUUCAAUCAAUGUUUGUGGGGUUUGUUUGUUUUGAGACAGGGUCUUCCUCUGUCGCCCAGGCUGGAGUGCAGUGGUGCAAUCAGAGCUCACUGCAGCCUUGAUCUUCCUGGCUCCGGCCAUCCUCCUGCCUUGGCCUCCCGAGUAGCUGGGACUACAGGCGCACACCACCAUGCCAAGCUAAUUUUUAAAUUUUUUUGUAGAGAUGGGGUCUCACUUUUGUUGCCCAGGGUGCUUUAGAACCCCUGGGCUCAAGUGAUCCUUGACCUCCCACAGUGCUGGGAUUACAGGUGUGAGCCACCGUGCCUGGCCUCAUGGGUUUUCUUUGUUUUGUUUUGUUUUGUUUUUGAGACAGAGUCUCACUCUGUCACUCAGGCUGGAGUGCAGUGGCACGAUUUUGGCUCACUGCAACCUCCACCUUCCGGGUUCAAGCGAUUCUCCUGCCUCCGCCUCCCGAGUAGUUGGGGUUACAGGCAUGCGCUACCACACCUGGCUAGUUUUUUAUUGUUGUUGUUUUUUGUAUUUUUAGUGGUGACGGGGUUUGCUCUGUUGGCCAGGCUGGUCUCAAACUCCUGACCUCAGGUGAUCCCCACUUCAGCCUCCCAAAGUGCUGGGAUGACAGGCAUGAGCCUCUGCACCUGGCCUCGUGUUUUUUUUUUAGUUAGCCAUUUUAUACGUGUUUACUGAACACCUGUCCUGUGCCCAUAUUCUAAGUGCCUUACCUGCAUUAAACUCAUGUAACCUUCACAACCCGAUGAGGAAGUGCUACCGCUGUCAUUUUUUGCAUUUUUUUACUGCUGUCAGGGCAGAGGGGAGGGGAGUGAGAGGGAGAGCCUGCUGGAGUGCAGGUGGCUGGUCCCACCUCGGGUCUGCACUCCUGUUUCCACUGCCUGAAUGAAUGAAUGAAUGGGCUGCCCUGCAAAGCCAUCACACAUGCAUGGUUAUCCUCUUCCUGUCUCCUGCUCUGUCAGUCCACUUUCCAUCAUCUGGCCCAACGAGCUCUUCUCAGAUACCCCCCAUUUCCUGCCUUCCAAAUUAGGGACACUUGCGAUUCCUCUGCAACAAUUGCUGAGUUGGCCUGAGGCAAAGACUGUGCCCCCAGAAGACCCCAGGCCCUCCCCAAGGCUGUC
rnacentral:lncRNA from 10 species